UACGAAGGGUGCAAGCGUUACUCGGAAUUACUGGGCGUAAAGCGUGCGUAGGUGGUUUGUUAAGUCUGUUGUGAAAGCCCCGGGCUCAACCUGGGAAUGGCAAUGGAUACUGGCAAGCUAGAGUGCGGUAGAGGGUAGUGGAAUUCCCGGUGUAGCGGUGAAAUGCGUAGAGAUCGGGAGGAACACCGGUGGCGAAGGCGGCUAUCUGGACAGAGUCUGACGCUGAGGCGCGAAAGCUAGGGGAGCAAAACAGG
rnacentral:rRNA from 1 species